GAGCGGCAACAGCUCAAUUUGAAAGCUGGCUCCUUCGGGGUCCGCAUUGUAAUUUGGAGAGGAUGCUUCGGGUGCGGCCCCCGUCUAAGUGCUCUGGAACGGGCCGUCGGAGAGGGUGAGAAUCCCGUCUGGGGCGGGGAGACCCGCGCCCGUGUGAAGCUCCUUCGAAGAGUCGAUUGGUUUGGG
rnacentral:rRNA from 1 species